rnacentral:rRNA from 1 species
UACGUAGGGAGCAAGCGUUGUCCGGAAUCAUUGGGCGUAAAGCGCGCGUAGGUGGCUCCGUAAGUCCUGCUGUGAAAGUCAAAGGCUCAACCUUUGAAAGCCGGUGGAUACUGUGGAGCUAGAGUCCGGAAGAGGCGAGUGGAAUUCCUGGUGUAGCGGUGGAAUGCGCAGAUAUCAGGAGGAACACCAAUAGCGAAGGCAGCUCGCUGGGACGGUACUGACACUGGAGGCGCGAAGCGUGGGAGCGA